rnacentral:rRNA from 1 species
UACAGAGGGUGCGAGCGUUGUUCGGAAUUAUUGGGCGUAAAGGGCGCGUAGGCGGUGCGGUAAGUCACCUGUGAAACCUCUGGGCUCAACUCAGAGCCUGCAGGCGAAACUGCCGUGCUGGAGUGUGGGAGAGGUGCGUGGAAUUCCCGGUGUAGCGGUGAAAUGCGUAGAUAUCAGGAAGAACACCCGUGGCUAAGGCGGCUCUCUAGUACGGUACUGACGCUGAGACGCGAAAGCGUGGGGAGCGAACAGG